UACUGACGCUGAGGCUCGAAAGUGCGGGUAUCAAACAGGAUUAGAUACCCUGGUAGUCCGCACAGUAAACGAUGGAUACUCGUGGUUGGCGACAGACAGUCAGUCACCAAGCGAAAGCGAUAAGUAUCCCACCUGGGGAGUACGCCGGCAACGGUGAAACUCAAAGGAAUUGACGGGGGCCCGCACAAGCGGAGGAACAUGUGGUUUAAUUCGAUGAUACGCGAGGAACCUUACCCGGGCUUGAAUUGCGCUGGACGUGUCCAGAGACGGACAUUUCUUCGGACCAGCGUGAAGGUGCUGCAUGGUUGUCGUCAGCUCGUGCCGUGAGGUGUCGGCUUAAGUGCCAUAACGAGCGCAACCCUUCUCUUCGGUUGCCAUCAGGUGAUGCUGGGCACUCCGGAGACACUGCCAUCGCAAGAUGUGAGGAAGGUGGGGAUGACGUCAAAUCAGCACGGCCCUUACGUCCGGGGCUACACACGUGUUACAAUGGGAUAUACAGAAGGCAGCCACCCGGUGACGGGGCGCUAAUCCCCAAAGUAUCCCCCAGUUCGGACUGGAGUCUGCAACCCGACUCCACGAAGCUGGAUUCGCUAGUAAUCG
rnacentral:rRNA from 1 species